rnacentral:rRNA from 1 species
AACAAAAACAUCGCUCCUUGGUGCAGAUUUGAAUAAGGAGUCGGACCUGCCCGGUGACCUACGGGUUAAACGGCCGCGGUACACUGACCGUGCAAAGUAGCACAAUCACUUGCCUUUUAAUUGGAGGCUGGUAUGAAUGGUUUGACGAGGGCUGAGCUGUCUCUCCUUGAAUAUUUAAAAAUUAACUUCUAGGUGAAAAGGCCUAGAUUAAGCUGAGGGACGAGAAGACCCUGUUGAGCUUUAGUGUGGAGUGGAGUGGUUGUUCCUAUUGUGAUAGAGGACUUUAGGUUUGUUCUUACAUCUUUAGUUGGGGUGACUAGGGAACAUAGAAAGCUUCUCUGUUGAUUUUGUGGAUUUUUAGUUUACUGACGAAUGAUCCAGCAUUGUUGAUUAUCGGAAAAAGUUACCACAGGGAUAACAGCGUAAUCUUUCUGGAGAGUUCACAUUGAAAGAAGGGUUUGCGAGCUCGAUGUUGGAAUAAGGUGUCCUGAGGGUGUAGCAGCUUUCAUUGAGGUUGGGUCUGUUCCGACCAUUAAAACCUUUACGUGAUCUGG